rnacentral:rRNA from 1 species
AUUGAACGCUAGCGCGAUGCUUUACACAUGCAAGUCGAACGACUGGCGCACGUGUGAGUAAUAUAUCUGAACGUGCCCAGUAGCGGGGGAUAACUACUCGAAAGAGUGGCUAAUACCGCAUACUAUUGCAGCGGCAGAUAUCGGAUUAGCUAGUUGGUGGGGUAAAGGAUCACCAAGGCAACGAUCCUUAGCUGGUUUGAAAGGACGACCAGUCACACUGGGACUGAGACACGGCCCAGACUCCGACGUGAGGGAGCAGUGGGGAAUUGUGGACAAUGGGGGAAACCCUGAUCCAGCCAUCCCGCGUGUAAGAAAAGGGCUUAGGGUUGUAAAGUACUUUUGGCAUAGAAGCGGUCUCUGCAGAAUAAGCACCGGCUAACUACGUGCCAGCAGCCGCGGUAAUUC